UAACCUAUGAUGAUGUAAAUGUGAACUUCACUCGAGAAGAAUGAGCUUUGCUGGAUCCUUCACAGAAGAGCCUCUACAAAGAUGUGAUGCUGGAGACCUACAGGAACCUCACUGCUAUAGGCUACAAUUGGGAAGGCCAUAAUGUUGAAGAGCAUUGUCAAAGUUCUAGAAGACAUGCAAGUAUGAAUGCACUCAGUGUGAUAAAACUCUGAGUUCUUCCUGUUCUCUUCAAAUAUAUGAAAAACCUCAUAGAGAAAAAAGACACUACAGAUGUGAGCCAUGUAAUAAAGACUCUUACCAUUACAGGUAUCUUUAAAGGAGCAAAGCCACCCAUAAUGAAGGGGAAACCAGGAUUGUAAACAAAGUGAUAAAACCUUAAGAUCUGAUUCCUCUUUGCAACUAGACUGAAUUGUAAAAUUAAUUCCUACAGAUAAAAAGAUUCAUCAGUACAAUGAAUGUGGUAAAGCUUUGACAUGUUCCAAUUAUCAUUGCAGGCAUGAAAGAAGUCUUCAAAGGCAGGAAAUAAUUCAUACUGAAGAGAGACCUUACAAAAGUAAUCAACGUAAGUCCUUUGCAUUUCAUGAUUUUCUCCAAAGAUAUAAAAGAACACAUACCUGAGGGAAAGCCCUAUGAAUGUAAUCCAUGUGGUAAAGUCAUAUUUCAGGUCAGUAGUCUCUGAGUUCAUAGAUGAAUAUACACUGGAGAGAAACCCUAUGAAUGUCAUCAUUGGGGUAAAGCCUUUUCAUAACCAAGUAACCUACAAAUAUAUAAAAGAACAUAUAUGGAGAGGAACCAUAUGUAUGUAACCAAUGUGCCAAAGCCUUUGCAAGUCACAGUGAUCUUCAAAGGUGGUGGUUUGAAUAUGAUUGGCCAAUGGGAAAGUGGCACUGUUAGGAGAUAUGACCUUAUUUGAGGAAUUGUGUUACUGUAGGGAUGGGCUUUUGGGCUCUUCCAGCACUGGACACUGCCAUGCUUCCCUCCUUGAUAAUAAUGGACUGAACCUUUGAAUCUGUAAGGCAUCCCCAAUUAAAUGUUGUCUUUUGUAAGAGUUGCCUUGGUUGUGGUGUCUUUUCAUAGCAAUAAAACCCCAAUUCAGACUAAAAGCAUGACAGAAAUCACACUGGAGAGAAGCCCUAUGAAUGUGUUGAAUAUGAUGAAACCUUUGCACAUUUCUGUAGUCCUCAUUAUAAUGAAAGAAACCCUAUGAAUGGAAGCAAUGUUGUUAAGCCUUUGCCCUUCACAUUUAUCUCCAAAUUCUGAAAAGAAUACAUACUGGAGAGAAACCUUAUGAAUGUACUCAAUAAGGUAAAGCCUUU
rnacentral:lncRNA from 1 species